rnacentral:rRNA from 1 species
GACAGAGGUGCCAAGCGUUAGGCGGAAUCACUGGGCUUAAAGCGUGUGUAGGCGGGAUGGUAAGUACCUUGUGAAAUCCCACAGCUUAACUGUGGAAAUGCUUGGUAUACUGCCGUUCUUGAGUCACCUAGGGGCAGCUGGAACAGAUGGUGGAGCGGUGAAAUGCAUAGAUAUCAUCUGGAACGCCAAUGGUGCAGACAAGCUGCUGGGGGUGUACUGACGCUGAGGCACGAAAGCCAGGGGAGCAAACGGG